AGCGCUUUCGGCGCCAUUUUCGAGUGAUGCCUGAUCUCAUCAAUCUAGCGGGAGGGAAGGGAUAACCUGUCCGAGCCUAGCGCGACGCUAGGAUCACGCCGGAAAAUCCCCCAAAAAUCAUCAAAAAAAUUAACUUAGAGCAGAGGGCAGUCGGUGGGGCUUCGCCAGAUGCGGCGCAGUCGGUAAGAGCCUCAAGUAGCGAAGCGGGUCUCGAGAGGUGGCAGCGAUGGGACCGGAGGACCGUGAGGGGAGCAGGGACCGGACUCGGGGUCUGCCCUCACUUUCGCGGCAGAAGCUCCCCCAGGGGAUCCGGUUGCUAUUUUAACCAUUAGAAGAAUACCAGUUCUGGAAAACAACCAAAGUUUCUUUGAUUGAAUGCCCAUGUAAUGCAUUGGAAUAUGAUAGGCGAUUAAGGUUUAACAAUGUUAAAAUGAAGAUAUUACUAAAAUGGCCCUCUAAAUAGCCCAACAAUUAUUAUUUUCUUUGUCCUAUGGAUUUGGCUUUGAAAGAUGUGCUGCUCUUAAUAAGCUUUUCAUUCUGCCGGCCAUACUUUUUCUCCCUACUCUGGACGCCUCUAGAUGACUCCAGCUGUGCUCUCCUUCGUAAUCUACACACCCUCCUCAACCAUACCCUGGACCAGUCAUGUCCUCAUCUCAGACACGACUUUUCUGGUGAGAAACUGAAUUCUUUCAAUGCAUGCUUCCUUAUACCAGAUUGCCUUGGUUUCUCUAUAGUCAAUUUGAAGGCUUAAAUUUGAAUUCUGUAAAUAAAGAUUCUGAAAAACUAGCAUACAAAUUCUUCAUUUAUGCAAAUUAAACUAUUGCUAAUAAACAUUUGUCUUCCCAAA
rnacentral:lncRNA from 1 species